rnacentral:rRNA from 1 species
GGGUCCGGAAUUAUUGGGCGUAAAGGGCUCGCAGGCGGUUUCUAAAGUCUGAUGUGAAAGCCCCCGGCUCAACCGGGGAGGGUCAUUGGAAACUGGGGAACUUGAGUGCAGAAGAGGAGAGUGGAAUUCCACAUGUAGCGGUGAAAUUCGUAGAGAUGUGGAGGAACACCAGUGGCGAAGGCGACUCUCUGGUCUGUAACUGACGCUGAGGAGCGAAAGCGUGGGGAKCGAACAGCCAUUAGAUACCCUGGUAGUCCACGCCGUAAACGMUGAKUKCUAAGUGUUAGGGGGUUUCCCCCCCUUAGUGCUGCAGCUAACGCAUUAAGCACU